GCAUCACGGGAUACCGUAACACUGACGCCCAGAGCAUCACGGGAUACCGUAACACUGACACCCAGAGCAUCACGGGAUACCGUAACACUGACACCCAGUGCAUCACGGGAUACCGUAACACUGACACCCAGUGCAUCACGGGAUACCGUAACACUGACACCCAGUGCAUCACGGGAUACCGUAACACUGACACCCAGUGCAUCACGGGAUACCGUAACACUGACACCCAGUGUGUAACGGAUCACCUGGCACCCCGAUUGGGUACCUCCAUUGAAGGAUGCUCCUAGCGCUUCCUGAGGACUCC